rnacentral:rRNA from 1 species
GACGAACGCUGGCGGCGUGCUUAACACAUGCAAGUCGAACGGUAAGGCCCUUCGGGGUACACGAGUGGCGAACGGGUGAGUAACACGUGGGUGAUCUGCCCUGCACUUCGGGAUAAGCCUGGGAAACUGGGUCUAAUACCGGAUAGGACUCCUGGCUUCAUGGUUGGGGGUGGAAAGCUUUUGCGGUGUGGGAUGGGCCCGCGGCCUAUCAGCUUGUUGGUGGGGUAAUGGCCUACCAAGGCGACGACGGGUAGCCGGCCUGAGAGGGUGACCGGUCACACUGGGACUGAGAUACGGCUCAGACUCCGACGGGAGGCAGCAGUGGGGAAUAUUGCACAAUGGGCGCAAGCCUGAUGCAGCGACGCCGCGUGAGGGAUGACGGCCUUCGGGUUGUAAACCUCUUUCAGCACCGACGAAGCGCAAGUGACGGUAGGUGCAGAAGAAGGACCGGCCAACUACGUGCCAGCAGCCGCAGUAA